CUUAGUAACGGCGAGUGAAGCGACAAAAGCUCAAAUUUGAAAUCUGGCACCUUCGGUGUCCGAGUUGUAAUUUGAAGAAGGUAACUUUGGAGUUGGCUCUUGUCUAUGUUCCUUGGAACAGGACGUCACAGAGGGUGAGAAUCCCGUGCGAUGAGAUGUCCAACUCUAUGUAAAGUGCUUUCGAAGAGUCGAGUUGUUUGGGAAUGCAGCUCUAAGUGGGUGGUAAAUUCCAUCUAAAGCUAAAUAUUGGCGAGAGACCGAUAGCGAACAAGUACAGUGAUGGAAAGAUGAAAAGAACUUUGAAAAGAGAGUGAAAAAGUACGUGAAAUUGUUGAAAGGGAAGGGUUUGAGAUCAGACUUGGUAUUUUGUAUGUCUUGCUUUCGGGUGGGGCCUCUGCAGUUUACUGGGCCAGCAUCGGUUUGGACGGUAGGAUAAUGACAUUGGAAUGUGGCACUACUUCGGUGGUGUGUUAUAGACUUUGUUGAUACUGCCUGUCUAGACCGAGGACUGCGUCUUUGACUAGGAUGCUGGCAUAAUGAUCCUAAA
rnacentral:rRNA from 1 species